CCCCCACCCGCUGUUGCGCGCCACUUUCGUCCAUUUUCCGUGGGUGAUUUUGCUGUCAACUAUACUCAAGGCAGCUUGAAAAAAAAAGCCCUUACAAACCAAAUAAACAGAAAAGAAGGAGAAAAGGCAGUGUCGAAGUGGCUUAUUGGUGCCAGGGGCAGGGGAGGAAACCGGACUGCGAGGGCACGUGGUGCAGAGCAAGAUUGACACGCCAUAGGCUGUGUAGUACGCACAGGGGAGGAAACCGGACUGCGAGGGCACGUGGUGCAGAGCAAGAUGGACACGCCAUAGGCUGUGUAGUACGCGCAGCCUACGCAGUUGCCUGACA